GCGGACGGGUGAGUAAUGCUUAGGAAUCUGCCUAUUAGUGGGGGACAACAUUCCGAAAGGAAUGCUAAUACCGCAUACGCCCUACGGGGGAAAGCAGGGGAUCUUCGGACCUUGCGCUAAUAGAUGAGCCUAAGUCAGAUUAGCUAGUUGGUGGGGUAAAGGCCUACCAAGGCGACGAUCUGUAGCGGGUCUGAGAGGAUGAUCCGCCACACUGGGACUGAGACACGGCCCAGACUCCUACGGGAGGCAGCAGUGGGGAAUAUUGGACAAUGGGCGAAAGCCUGAUCCAGCCAUGCCGCGUGUGUGAAGAAGGCCUUUUGGUUGUAAAGCACUCUAAGCGAGGAGGAGGCUACUGAGAUUAAUACUCUUGGAUAGUGGACGUUACUCGCAGAAUAAGCACCGGCUAACUCUGUGCCAGCAGCCGCGGUAAUACAGAGGGUGCGAGCGUUAAUCGGAUUUACUGGGCGUAAAGCGUGCGUAGGCGGCUUUUUAAGUCGGAUGUGAAAUCCCUGAGCUUAGCUUAGGAAUUGCAUUCGAUACUGGGAAGCUAGAGUAUGGGAGAGGAUGGUAGAAUUCCAGGUGUAGCGGUGAAAUGCGUAGAGAUCUGGAGGAAUACCGAUGGCGAAGGCAGCCAUCUGGCCUAAUACUGACGCUGAGGUACGAAAGCAUGGGGAGCAAACAGGAUUAGAUACCCUGGUAGUCCAUGCCGUAAACGAUGUCUACUAGCCGUUGGGGCCUUUGAGGCUU
rnacentral:rRNA from 1 species